UGGACAAUACAGUCCUUCUUGGUCAGAUAGGCUUCUAGGUUGAUAACAUCACGACGUUUUCGACCGGAGCCAUGGGGGCAUUUCUACAUGAAUGACGUUCACAUUGAGGGAAUCGUCCAGGGUGAAUUGAUCGUUUGACUGAACAACUUUUUCCACAGCGGCCAGGAAGCGUUCAGGAGUUAAACUAUCUCGAGGAAGAAAGGGUAAUGAAAUGGGCCUAUCCAGCUGGGGGGAAUUAAUGACGAAGCGAACCUGAUCUUGGGGAGACAUGCCAUUAGUCAUGCGGUCAAACAGAUUACGGAAAGUACGGUGCAAUGUGGGCAUGACAUUCGAUAUGCCAUGCACGUCCAGGGGAUUAAAUUGGACCGUGUAAUCAAUGCCUACAAAUACAAUACAUUAUUUUAGCUAUCAGAAUUAUUUUGGAACCCAUUGAAAUGUCCUAAAGUAGAAUGACACUUGUCCGCUAAAGUAGAAUGACGAGUGUCCUAAUUCAAAGCAUAUAAUGGUUUCUUACUUAUUUUAUUAGCUAUGUUGGUUUUUUGGGGGGUUUUUUCAGCAUACACUUAUUAUACAAAAAAACCCUCACAUUGCACAAUCUUGGAUUUGCACAACAUAGACGAAAUAAUUAAAACCUGAUUGCGGGUGCAUUAACCUAAUAACGGGUUAAAUUAAUACCUGAUUAUGGGCGUUAUUACCUAAGCAACAUGGCUCGCGUAACUUUGAUCAGAUGUUCAAUCAUGACUUUAGCCUUUAUUAUAAGUUUUAACAUUAAAGGCAUGUUUGAACGCUUGACCUUUACAAGUAAUAUAAAAUAAAUAACAAAAUCGGUAGCUGUUGUGCGAAAUUUCCUCUCAUUCACUUGCUUUACCGAUUUGACGGCGAAGUAUUCUUCGGCUCUAGGCCGUUUAGCAGGGGAUUCUAUGCUUUCCUCAUCAACGGAACGUUUCCCUUCUCCUGUCUGGCAUUCGGCCGGUUCGGUUGGCAUCAGGAUACUGUUGUCUGCCCACUCGCUGGCAAAACGUAGGCGGUGGGAGUCGGACUAGCUUUCGAGCAGACUACGGUUGAUUGAAUCACUCCCCGGUUCGGUUGGCAUCAUAAUACUGUCAUCAGCCCCCUCGCCGGCAAAACGUAGACGCUGGAAGUCGGAACAGCUUUCGAGCAGACUACUAUCGAUUGAAUUACUCCGUGUCUAAAUCGCCAAAGGCUGUCGCAAAACAGCCUAUUUCUCCUCGUCAGUGAGAUCGAACGCUUGCUCGAAUAUAUCCAGAGCAGCUUCGGUCUCGCACUCGUGAAUCAUUUCAUUCAUCUAUAAAAUUAAUAAUAAGAAAGCAUAUAUAUAAACAUAUAAAAAACAAGUAAAAUUUUUGGAAGAAAAAAAAAAAAAAAAAAAAAAAAAGAAGUUUUUACUUACCAAUUGAGACAUGUUUCAAACUUUUUGCUAAAAUCGUCAGAAAAUUGCUAAAAUGAUUGCAAUAUUUGCCAACAGUAGAACGCUGUUACUAGGACUAGAACGGAGUAGAACCAGUUUACGAAUGAAGAAACGCGACGCUGAAAUUCACAUACAAACACACGCAAAGGAGCGUUCCGUCAGAACUUGCCCGCUUUAAUUAAUGACUUUUCGCUUGUCCUUACCAUGUGUGCGAUGCAAAUUUCCACACAUUGCUUUGAGAAAACCGCUAAAAAUUGUAUAGACCGAUACUCUUACCAACUGAACUAACAGCAGAGCUUGUUUUACUUUUUAAUUUUAUUUUAAUUAUUAUUCCUAGUACGAGUGCGAAUAAAAAUCAAAGUUUACGAAUGAAGAGACGCGACGCUGAAAUUCACAUAGAAACAACGCAAACGAGCGUUCCGUCAGAACUUGCCCGCCUUAAUGAGUUUUUCGCUUGUCCUUACCAUGUGUUCCAUGCAAAUUUCCACACAGUUGCUUAGUGAAAAGCGCUAAAAAUUGUGUAGCCCCACACUCUUACCAAGUGAACUAACAGCAGAGCUUGUUUUAUUUAUUUUAUUUUAUUUUAUUUAUUUGUGUUUUUUUUAUUAUUCCUAGUACGAGUGAGAUAUAAAAGUAUGUUGCCAGGAGCAGGGGUCAAACGCGCGAAGUGCAUCGCACAAUAGAUUUUAAGUCUAACACUUGAGGCAAUGAAUAUUUAAAAAAAAAUAAUCUUCGGUCAUCCACGGGGGAAAGUCGGCGACGGGUCGGGAUGACGUCACCUUCGGACGGCAUUCGGAAUGAAUAUAUAAUGUGACGUAGGCAUAAUUAAUGCUUUUUACGUAUGAAUAUAUAAUUAGGGAUGAAGGUCGUGAAGGAGUAAGACACAAUGAAAACAAUGAG